rfam:Carnobacterium divergens DSM 20623 NODE_90, whole genome shotgun sequence.
CUGUUAAUGGGAAAAAGUCAACAUCUUUUGCUUUUUUACUAGCUACUGCGGCCGUUAAUACAGCAGUAUCUCCAUAACGGAUUAAAGCAGCUCCAUUUGCUUGUUUUGCUAAUUGGCCCACUUCUACCUUUAACGUGCGGCCUGCCCACUCUUUUGUAAAAAUUUGUUUUUCUGUCAUAUUUUACAGUUCUCCUUUGUUGUUCAAAGUCGAAAAUCUUAUUAUCAAACAGAUACACACAAGCUACUAAACAAAUGUGAACACCUAAUUUAGUUUAGAUACUCGCA